rnacentral:rRNA from 1 species
UCAUCUCCGGGGGUAGAGCACUGUUUCGGCAAGGGGGUCAUCCCGACUUACCAACCCGAUGCAAACUGCGAAUACCGGAGAAUGUUAUCACGGGAGACACACGGCGGGUGCUAACGUCCGUCGUGAAGAGGGAAACAACCCAGACCGCCAGCUAAGGUCCCAAAGUCAUGGUUAAGUGGGAAACGAUGUGGGAAGGCCCAGACAGCCAGGAUGUUGGCUUAGAAGCAGCCAUCAUUUAAAGAAAGCGUAAUAGCUCACUGGUCGAGUCGGCCUGCGCGGAAGAUGUAACGGGGCUAAACCAUGCACCGAAGCUGCGGCAGCGACGCUGAUGCGUUGUUGGGUAGGGGAGCGUUCUGUAAGCCUGCGAAGGUGUGCUGUGAGGCAUGCUGGAGGUAUCAGAAGUGCGAAUGCUGACAUAAGUAACGAUAAAGCGGGUGAAAAGCCCGCUCGCCGGAAGACCAAGGGUUCCUGUCCAACGUUAAUCGGGGCAGGGUGAGUCGACCCCUAAGGCGAGGCCGAAAGGCGUAGUCGAUGGGAAACAGGUUAAUAUUCCUGUACUUGGUGUUACUGCGAAGGGGGGACGGAGAAGGCUAUGUUGGCCGGGCGACGGUUGUCCCGGUUUAAGCGUGUAGGCUGGUUUUCCAGGCAAAUCCGGAAAAUCAAGGCUGAGGCGUGAUGACGAGGCACUACGGUGCUGAAGCAACAAAUGCCCUGCUUCCAGGAAAAGCCUCUAAGCAUCAGGUAACAUCAAAUCGUACCCCAAACCGACACAGGUGGUCAGGUAGAGAAUACCAAGGCGCUUGAGAGAACUCGGGUGAAGGAACUAGGCAAAAUGGUGCCGUAACUUCGGGAGAAGGCACGCUGAUAUGUAGGUGAAGUCCCUUGCGGAUGGAGCUGAAAUCAGUCGAAGAUACCAGCUGGCUGCAACUGUUUAUUAAAAACACAGCACUGUGCAAACACGAAAGUGGACGUAUACGGUGUGACGCCUGCCCGGUGCCGGAAGGUUAAUUGAUGGGGUCAGCGCAAGCGAAGCUCUUGAUCGAAGCCCCGGUAAACGGCGGCCGUAACUAUAACGGUCCUAAGGUAGCGAAAUUCCUUGUCGGGUAAGUUCCGACCUGCACGAAUGGCGUAAUGAUGGCCAGGCUGUCUCCACCCGAGACUCAGUGAAAUUGAACUCGCUGUGAAGAUGCAGUGUACCCGCGGCAAGACGGAAAGACCCCGUGAACCUUUACUAUAGCUUGACACUGAACAUUGAGCCUUGAUGUGUAGGAUAGGUGGGAGGCUUGGAAGUGUGGACGCCAGUCUGCAUGGAGCCGACCUUGAAAUACCACCCUUUAAUGUUUGAUGUUCUAACGUUGACCCGUAAUCCGGGUUGCGGACAGUGUCUGGUGGGUAGUUUGACUGGGGCGGUCUCCUCCUAAAGAGUAACGGAGGAGCACGAAGGUUGGCUAAUCCUGGUCGGACAUCAGGAGGUUAGUGCAAUGGCAUAAGCCAGCUUGACUGCGAGCGUGACGGCGCGAGCAGGUGCGAAAGCAGGUCAUAGUGAUCCGGUGGUUCUGAAUGGAAGGGCCAUCGCUCAACGGAUAAAAGGUACUCCGGGGAUAACAGGCUGAUACCGCCCAAGAGUUCAUAUCGACGGCGGUGUUUGGCACCUCGAUGUCGGCUCAUCACAUCCUGGGGCUGAAGUAGGUCCCAAGGGUAUGGCUGUUCGCCAUUUAAAGUGGUACGCGAGCUGGGUUUAGAACGUCGUGAGACAGUUCGGUCCCUAUCUGCCGUGGGCGCUGGAGAACUGAGGGGGGCUGCUCCUAGUACGAGAGGACCGGAGUGGACGCAUCACUGGUGUUCGGGUUGUCAUGCCAAUGGCACUGCCCGGUAGCUAAAUGCGGAAGAGAUAAGUGCUGAAAGCAUCUAAGCACGAAACUUGCCCCGAGAUGAGUUCUCCCUGACCCUUUAAGGGUCCUGAAGGAACGUUGAAGACGACGACGUUGAUAGGCCGGGUGUGUAAGCGCAGCGAUGCGUUGAGCUAACCGGUACUAAUGAACCGUGAGGCUUAACCUU